UCCACGAUUGUGGUAAUCUCAUACAGGUUGACGACCUCAAGGAGAGUGAUGGCGUCGCCACCAUUUCCUGUCAUCCCUCGUCCCAUCACCCCCCAAUUAACAGGCAUGAAAAAAUUGAGCUGCUUGUACGUCAGUUUGCCAACACCGCUGAAUUUUGUUUGUCGUUCAUGAGGUUUAUUCUAUACACAGGAACUUGACAUUUCGUCGCGUCCAGAUGAAGCAUAUAUACCAGAAUUGUUGGACCAUUCGUGCAAUGGUCCAAUGGAAGGCACAAAUCAAAGAGAAUUCCAUGGGAAACAUAUACCUUCAAUGCAUACUACUGGAUCAGGAAGGGACAAAAAUGGAAGCCAUUGCGUUCAACAAUCAAGUUGUUCGUUUCAACACCAUUCUUCAAACCGGCAUGUCCUAUGAAUUCACUCGUGUAGGAUUUAACCCCACUGAAAUGGCAGUUGUACAUUUCUUGUAUCUAGACAUGGAGUUUAUCAUGACACUAGAUAGUAGGACUGUGGUUAUGAUUUCGGCGCACAGGAUAUCAACGACAAUUUGUCCAUUGUGUUUCCCACAAUUUGGGGCCAUCUACUCACUACAAGACAAACGCAUAACUGAUGUUAUUGCUAUUGUUGCCUAUGUUAGUAAGAUACAAACUCUAUGGGAUCCAAUAUAUGAUAGACAUGUCCCUUUGCUCGAAAUUGGCCUCAUGAACUUUCGGUGAGAGUCGUUUAUAAUAUGAGAUUUACAUAUGCUUUUUUGAGUUAAUUGUUGCAAACAUAAACUAAAAUUUGUUUUUGUCUGUAGACGUCAGAUAAUUUUCCUACGCAUAUAUGAAGAGCACGUUGGCCGUCAAUUUUACCAUUUGCGACGCAGCGUAAAUCAGUUUGAAAAAAUAUCAAUUACUUACAUACAGUUUAAUCGGAGGCGUCAAUGCUUGCAAACUAUGCGGGAGAGCACGUUCACCUAUUCUCCUAAUAUUGAUCAUGAGGGUCAUCAUCUACAAGGCAGAUAUCCAUGAAGCCAGUCUCAUGACACUUGACGAAACACGUGCCUACGUCAACAAUAUUGUCAUGGCUAGGAACAAUGGACUCUAGAAUUAUCUCCCUGUACUCAUUAUCACAUUCCGUCAUUGAUGUAAAAAGU